rnacentral:rRNA from 1 species
CCCUUAGAUGUUCGGGGCCGCACGCGCGCUACACUGAAGGACUCAGCGUGUCUCUCCCCCUAUCCCGAAAGGGAUGGGCAACCCGUUGAACCUCCUUCGUGCUAGGGAUUGGGGUUUGCAAUUAUCCCCCAUGAACGAGGAAUUCCCAGUAAGCGCGAGUCAUCAGCUCGCGUUGAUUACGUCCCUGCCCUUUGUACACACCGCCCGUCGCUACUACCGAUUGGAUGGUUUAGUGAGACCCUCGGAUCGGUCCCGACUCGGGGUGGGCUUCUGCCCCGGUCGUGGUUUCGCCGAGAAGACGGUCAAACUUGACUAUCUAGAGGAAGUAAAGGUCGUAACA